rnacentral:rRNA from 1 species
UACGUAGGGUGCGAGCGUUAAUCGGAAUUACUGGGCGUAAAGCGUGCGCAGGCGGUUUUGUAAGCCAGAUGUGAAAUCCCCCGGGCUUAACCUGGGGAAUGGCAUUUGGGACUGCAAGGCUCGAGUGCGGCAGAGGAGACUGGAAUUCCUGGUGUAGCAAUGAAAUGCGUAGAGAUCGUAAGGAAGACCAGUGGCGAAGGCGAGUUUCUGGACGGUAACUGACGCUGAGGUACGAAGGCCAGGGGAGCAAACGGG